CAUAUUUUAGAGCUAAAAUCAUAAUAGUAAACUAAUUAUCAUUACUUUCAAAUCCACCUUCAUUAUAAAUUUCAAUUAUAAUUCCGUAAAUAAAUAUUAUUUAUUGUAACCCAUCUCAUCCUUAUUUAUUUGCUGCACCUUGAUCUGAUUUAAUUAAUAAUUAUUAAUAAUGAACAUUUAAAUUCUUUUAGAACAUUCAACUACGACGAUAUACAAACUAAUUAAAACAAGUACAAUCCCUCGUGGACCAUCGAUUAUAGGACAGGUUCCUCUGAAAAGACUAAAAUACCGCCAAAUUUUUUAGCUUUAAAGAACAUAACUAAUACUAACUAAGUUUUUAUUAUUUAACAUUUCAA
rnacentral:rRNA from 1 species